GACGAACCGUGCAAACGUUAUUCGGAAUCACUGGGCUUAAAGGGCGCGUAGGCGGGCAUCCAAGUCUGUGGUGAAAUCCGGCAGCUUAACUGUCGAACUGCCGUGGAUACUGGGUGUCUCGAGGGAGGUAGGGGCGUGCGGAACUAUUGGUGGAGCGGUGAAAUGCGUUGAUAUCAAUAGGAACUCCGGUGGCGAAGGCGGCACGCUGGACCUCUUCUGACGCUGAGGCGCGAAAGCCAGGGGAGCAAACGGG
rnacentral:rRNA from 1 species